AUAGCACUGAAUUUGUGACACCACAAUUAUUUCCAUGGCAACUAGUUACUGUCAAGCAGAGAAGCACUGCAAGGACAGCAGAGUAGGAGUGAUACAAUCAGCAAUUUUAUUCUGUCCAGAGAAUUCCAAGCUGUUGGAGAGUGCACAUAGUGACAGAAAGGCCAACACAAAAGGCCCUGCACAAAUCAGAUUACUUGUAAUGAAAGUAGGAAUAAUGAUCUCCAAUCAACUGCAGCUAAUUUACAUUUACUGCACCCUUCAAGAAGUGUCUGAAAUAAGAAUUGUGCUCUCCGGAGACAGAGAAAAGACUUUUCAUCAUCCAAAGCCCUGUCAGUGGGUUGAGAAGCCAACACCAGAACCAUUAAUGUCUGCCUAAUUGACUUCUGUGGCUAAGUUUAUAAACUGGCAAGAACACCUUUUAUAUACAUUUGAGUAAGUAUGGACAUAUAUAAACAAACCUAUUUUUAAAAAAAUGGAGAGGGAAAGAAGUCACAUCUUUUAUAAAUCAAAUAUACAAUAUUAAUUAAUUCUUGUAAAUCCAUGAGAUUGAGAAUGAUAAAAUCCCGAGUACCAAUAAUCACUCAGUUAACAGCACAGUAGUCUAAAAUUUAUUCACUUGCAGGCACUUGUGUCAGAAAAGGAUAAUGUGGUCAUUUUACUGUGACCACCAAUUGUUAAGACAUAAGUAUCAUGAAUAGCUUAAAAAACUUUGGCCUCCAACCUGUGUUAAGUUACUUGCUAAAUUUACUCCCUAAUAAAAUGAAAUUGAAUAAAACA
rnacentral:lncRNA from 1 species